rnacentral:rRNA from 1 species
GACGAACGCUGGCGGCGUGCCUAAUACAUGCAAGUCGAGCGGAACCAUUGGAGCUUGCUCCUUUGGUUUAGCGGCGGACGGGUGAGUAACACGUGGGCAACCUGCCCUGCAGAUCGGGAUAACUCCGGGAAACCGGUGCUAAUACCGAAUAGUUUGCGGCCUCUCAUGAGGCUGCACGGAAAGACGGUUUCGGCUGUCACUUCAGGAUGGGCCCGCGGCGCAUUAGCUAGUUGGUGAGGUAACGGCUCACCAAGGCCACGAUGCGUAGCCGACCUGAGAGGGUGAUCGGCCACACUGGGACUGAGACACGGCCCAGACUCCUACGGGAGGCAGCAGUAGGGAAUCUUCCGCAAUGGACGAAAGUCUGACGGAGCAACGCCGCGUGAGUGAAGAAGGUUUUCGGAUCGUAAAACUCUGUUGUGAGGGAAGAACAAGUACCAAGUAACUACUGGUACCUUGACGGUACCUCACCAGAAAGCCACGGCUAACUACGUG